rnacentral:rRNA from 1 species
UUGGGGGCUGGAAUGAAUGAGGCGACGAAAUCUAGGCUAUCUAAGUUUUAAAUUAAAUUGACAAAGAGGUCAAAAGGCCUGUGUGGGCCAAGGGGACGAUAAGACCCUAUAAAACUUUACUUUUAGUGUGGGGUCUGAUGGGGUGUUUUUACAUUUAAAAGUUUUACUGGGGCGGUAGUUAUAAAAACAAUUAGAUAUAAAAUAUAUUAAAUAGUGUAAAAGAACUCUUUGAGAAAUAGAACCAGUUACUUUAGGGAUAACAGCGUAAUCCCCCCAGAGAGUCCUAAUUGGCGGGGGGGCUUGCGACCUCGAUGUUGAAUUGGGGUCUCUUGUAUAAGCAGACGUAUAU